UUCACGUGUAAAUUGAACCAAGUAUUACACGUAAAACUGUCAUAUAUGCACCGUAUCUAAUCUGUUGAUAUAUUCGGAAACAUGAACAUCAUCGCCCAGAGGUACGAUAGAGUUGUGUUCAUUUAGCUUAACAGCUCUGAUAAAAUCGUGCUAUUAUAUCGAUUAUGUGCGGAUUAACUGCAUUAUCGAAGCACUCUUCUGCACUAUGUGUACAGUAGAGAAAAAUACUUUGGUCUUCUGAUUUUAGUUGAAGACGAACUAAUUUUUGGAGUUAAAUUUUCCUUUCAAGGCACAGCACCAAUGGGUGACUAAGCAAUUUUCUGUCAUCUAAAGACUAAAAUAUUCAUAGCUCACAAGCGCUACGAAUAGCUAGAAAAUUGGAUGGAAAUAGCGCCUCCGACUCUACAAGAGAGAGCAACCUUUCCAAUCAAACGUUCGCAUAAAUAUCUCGAUAAAUGUUGCGAAUGCCGUGAAAAAAUUAUACGUGGACACAUCGAAGUCACAUACAUUUAAAUAAAUUAAACA